GGUCAGAUGGCGGCGUUCUGAGAGUUCUCAUUUCAGACAGCGAGGGUGCUCUCAGCGAAUGCCUGACGGACGGGGAGACUUGGUUUGGCAACUGUGCGUGUCGUCUUCCGUUCGACAGUAGAGCUCAGAUGGGUUGAGAUAGCCCCCAAGUGGACUGAGUGGGGCGAAAGACAAGCCACCAAAUCUGCAAACAGGACUAUGGAACUGUGAGAAAAUAGUGUAGAAUUAAGGUGCCAUUUGGAGUAUGAGGAAGUUUCUGAUGAAGAACUCCCAUGGAAAAGUGAUAUUUGAGGUCAACAGUUACCACCAAUACAAGGUACCCAACUGCACAGAGAUGGAGCCUAGAGCAGCAGGAGGUGGUACAUAAAAACACAGGAACUGCUAUACCGUUUUCCACAAUAGCUGCACCAUUUUACAUCCCUAACAGCAAUGCGUGUGUUCUAAUUUCACCACAUCCUUGCCAACA